rnacentral:rRNA from 1 species
GUCGAGAAUCUUCCGCAAUGCGCGAAAGCGUGACGGAGCGACACCGCGUGAUGGAUGAAGUCCUUCGGGGCGUAAACAUCUUUUAUAAAGGAGGAAAUUUUUGACGUUACUUUAUGAAUAAGGGGCUCCCAAUCUCGUGCCAGCAGGAGCGGUAAUACGAGAGCCUCAAGCGUUAUCCGGAAUCAUUGGGCGUAAAGGGUGCGUAGGUGGUUUGAUUAGUCUCCCGUUAAAACUUCGAGCUUAACUCGAAAAGAGCGGGGGAAACGGUCAAACUAGAGUAUGUGAGAGGUGAGUGGAACUCAUGGUGUAGGGGUGAAAUCCGUUGAUAUCAUGGGGAACACCAAAAGCGAAGGCAGCACACUGGCACAUCACUGACACUGAGGCACGAAACCUAAGGUAGCGAAUGGGAUUAGAAACCCUGGUAGUCC